CACAUGACACACCCCGUCACGUGACACACCUCGUUACGUGACUCGUUACAUGACACGCCUCGUUACGUGACACGCCUCCUUACAUGACUCGUUACGUGACACGCCUCGUUACGUGACACGCCUCGUUACGUGACACGCCUCGUUACAUGACACGCCUCGUUACAUGACAUGCCUCGUUACGUGACUUGUUACAUGACACGCCUCGUUACGUGACUUGUUACAUGACAUGCCUCGUUACGUGACACGCCUCGUUACGUGACAUGCCUCGUUACAUGACUCGUUACAUGACACGCCUCGUUACGUGACACGUCUCGUUACGUGACAUGCCUCGUUACAUGACUCGUUACAUGACACGCCUCGUUAGGUUACACGCCUCGUUAGGGGACACGCCUCGUUAGGUGACACGCCGCGUUAGGUGACACGCCUCGUUAGGUGACACGCCUCGUUAGGUGACACGCCUCGUUAGGUUACACGCCUCGUUAGGUGACACGCCUCGUCACGUGACACGCCUCGUCAGGUGACACGCCUCGUCACGUGACACGCCUCGUCACGUGACACGCCUCGUUAGGUGACACGCCAAAUUAGGUGACACGCCUCGUCACGUGACACGCCUCGUCACGUGACACGCCUCGUUAGAUGACGCCUCGUCACGUGACAUGCCUCGUCAGGUGACACGCCUCCUUAGGUGACACGCCUCAUUAGGUGACACGCCUCGUCAUGUGACAUGCCAUGUCAUGUGACAUGCCUCGUCCGAUGACACGCCUCGUUAGGUGACACGCCUCGUCAGGUGACACGCCUCAUCAGGUGACACGCCUCGUCAGGUGACACGCCUCCUUAGGUGACACGCCUCGUUAGGUGACCUCAUCAGAUGACACGCCUCCUUAGGUGACACGCCUCGUUAGGUGACCUCAUCAGAUGACACACCUCGUUAAAUGACACGCCUUGUUAAAUGACACGCCUCGUCACGUGACAAGCCUCAUCAGGUGACACGCCUCGUCAGGUGACACGCCUCGUCAGGUGACACGCCUCGUCAGGUGACACGCCUCAUCAGGUGACACGCCUCGUCAGGUGACAUGCCUCGUCAGGUGACACGCCUCGUUAGGUGACACCUCGUCAGGUGACACGCCUCAUCAGGUGACACGCCUCGUUAGGUGACACGCCUCGUUAGGUGACACGCCUCGUCAGGUGACACGCCUCAUCAGGUGACACGCCUCGUCAGGUGACACGCCUCAUCAGAUGACACACCUCGUUAAAUGACACGCCUUGUUAGGUGACACACCUCGUCAGGUGACACGCCUCGUCAGGUGACACGCCUCGUUAGGUGACACGCCUCGUUAGGUGACACGCCUCAUCACGUG